rnacentral:rRNA from 1 species
CGCCAGACUCCUACGGGAGGCAGCAGUAGGGAAUCUUUCACAAUGGGCGAAAGCCUGAUGGAGCAACGCCGCGUGCAGGAUGAAGGCCUUCGGGUUGUAAACUGCUUUUAUAAGCGAGAAAUAUGAUGGUAACUUAUGAAUAAGGAUCGGCUAACUACGUGCCAGCAGCCGCGGUCAUACGUAGGUGGCAAGCGUUGUCCGGAAUUACUGGGUGUAAAGGGAGCGCAGGCGGGAAGCCAAGUUAGCUGUGAAAACUACGGGCUUAACUUGUAGACUGCAGUUGAAACUGGUUUUCUUGAGUGAAGUAGAGGUUGGCGGAAUUCCGAGUGUAGCGGUGAAAUGCGUAGAUAUUCGGAGGAACACCGGUGGCGAAGGCGGCCAACUGGGCUUUAACUGACGCUGAGGCUCGAAAGUGUGGGGAGCAAACAGGAUUAGAUACCCUAGUA